AAUUCAAAUGUAUAAUAUUACAGUUGGAACGGUCAGAAAUGCAGUACAUGUCUUAUUGGGGGUUCUCUGGGACCCUUCUUGAUUUUUCAGGGCCUCAUGGAUCACUGCAUUCUUUUCUCCUGUCAAGAGCAUGUUAGUGUGGAUCAGUUGUCACCUCCCAGAGGCUGUUUGCUUCCCUGCCAAUAAUCACUCAGGCUGCAUUGUGAAUAGACCGUGUGCAGAAGUGGGAACAGAGGAGCAGCUACGAGCUGUGGUUGGAGCUGGGAUGGACGGCAGCUGAGGAUGAAACCACGGACGUAAGGAAGGUCCUCCAUUGAAUACUCCCUCUGCCCUGAUGCUUUGCCCCAAAGCAUGGGGCCAUGAAACUGUGGACUGAAACCCUUUGAAACCAAGGGCAGAAGUAAAACCUCCUUGCCUCAA